AUGUCUUGGUUGGGCGCGAAGGUUCUAUCUGAGGCGAAAAGGUCAAUUUUUUGCAUUCCCCGACAUCAUUAAGAUGAGUCACCAGAGUGGUGCCACACUAUGUCUACCGAACGUCGCAUUUUCUCUGUAGACUGUUUCGGGACAUAGCAAGAGACGAUGGUUUUGGUUUCCAUGGGAAACGAUACGAAAGAGAGCAGCAUAAGUUAAACAGAUGCAUGCAAUCUGGCGUGACGCAACAAAAAGUCACAACCGAAGGUGGCGUGGGAGGAUCAAGAUUGGAACUCGUGCGUAACGUCAUUCAUCAGUAUCUAAAACGCAGGAAACGGUGAAGGUAAACCUGGACAGUUGUUGUGGAUUCUGAUAAAAGAAGACUCUGAGAGCAUUUACUUUCCUGAUAAAAAUCUAUCUAGUCACUCUGACGCAUGAGAAUAGAGCAGAGAUGGUAUCUUUUCUUCAUUAAGCACGCGGUAAAAAUCAGACACAGGAAAGCGCCAAAAUUAACCGGCCAAAAAAAUGGAAUUUCAAUUCCUAAUAAAAGUCACUGUUUACGGUGA